GCAGAUGAUAAAUCCCAUAUGAGUUUCCCAGAGGAGGAAUUUGAAAUCCAUGAAGAAGCCUGACCUUGGAGAGGCCUGAUAACAUACAUCUGGAGUUGUUGGUGGCAAAAGAGGAGACCACUAGGCAGCUCUUCUGUGUUAUAGAAAAGGCAAAGCUUUUAGAGGAUAAGUUUGGGUACAUGCCCCCAUCUUGUGAGAGAAGUGGGAAUUGGGUUGCAUAAUGCAGGUGAGGCAGAGGCUCCUUGGCCGGGACCACUACCCUUGGGAACAUCCCGUUGUCUGCUCUGGGCUAGCAUCUCUGCUUCCAUUCAGAAAAGACUCCGAGGAAGUACCCUCUGCUUCCUCCUCUGGGUUUCUACGUCCUUUUUCUUUAAAAGGAAAGAGAGAAGCCUGGUGAGACUGGAUGUCCAUGAAAGCUGUUCUCUUCAGCCUUCCUCCAAGGUCGGGAGAUCUAGUGACGUUUAGGGAAGAAUGGGGGACCGCCAGGCUAAAGCCUCCUCCUCCUCCUCCUGAGUCCAACCAUGCAUUUCUUGUAACGGGUGCAAUGUUUCCCCUCUAAGGUUGGGAGAAAUGUUCUCGGACUGCCCGUGGCCACUAUGUGCCUCUUAAAG